UGGUUAUAUGGGACUAAUCUCUAUCGGUUGCGACCCGAGCUGAUAUAGUCGAAGCCAGUGCUUAGAAGCGAACUGGGGUACCAGUGUCGAAGUCAACUGGGUUUUCUGAAGACAAUUUCUUUGUGGCCAGAUAUCUCUGACCGAAUUGUCUCGAAUAUUUUUAUAGCGCGCUGUAACCGAAGCGGUGAAAUGAGCUCUAUGUUCGGGGACGUGGCCAUCGUCCGGACGAACUGUUGGCUUUGUGGGUCGAUAAGAGGACCGUAAAAGUUCC
rnacentral:lncRNA from 1 species